GUGAGGGAGGGGGUGACUAGUGACAGAGGGAGGGAGGGGGUGACAGAGAGAUAGAGGGAGUGACAGAGAGAGGGAUGGGGUGACUAAUGACAGGCACCCCCUCCCUCCCUCUGUCACCAGUCAUCCCCUCACUCUGUCACUAGUCACCUCUUCCCUCCCUCACUUUGCCACUAGUCAUCUCUUCCCUCCCUCACUCUGCCACUAGUCACCCAUUCCCUAACUGUCACUAGUCACCCCUCUCCCUCCCUCUGUCACUAGUCACCCACUCCCUCAC